UGUACAUAUGUAUGUAUGUACGUAUGUAACUAUUACGUAUGUAUGGUAUGUAUGUAUGUAUGUACGUACGUAUGUGUAUGUAUGCAUGUGAUGUAUGUAUUCGGGAGUAAGACUGAUUAUUCCACAGUAUUUCGUACCGAUUGCCCAAGGCAUUCCUCUUAUUUAUUUGGUAAAUUUUUCAAUAAAUGCACGUAAUUUGUGUGUAUUUAUUAAUGGUUUUAUCGUGAUCUAAAUAAUAUUGAUAUGAUUCUGUUUGGAGAUGGCUUAAGAAAUGUAAAGAGAUAUCUACUAUUCCUAUUAAUUGAUCUGUUCCUAUGCGUUUGGCCUUUCCAAACAUUUUCUAUUUGGUGCUAUAAGGAAUAUUCAGAGAUACAUCGUGAAGAAUAAUUGUCUAUGUCUCCAGUGUGAAGCCCAAUAUCCCCUUCAAUUAUUCAUUCCCAUCUGUUGCUACUAUUUAUCUAAUGGAGAGGAACACUAUAUGCGCUAUAUCCAUUAAUAAGCAGGGUAGUUCACAACAGAUGAACGUAUUAUCUAAUUGGAUUAAAACUUAUUUACAAGAGGUACUGUACAUUUACAUUAUAAUUCUGUUGUGAUGUAGGUCCAUCAUAGCCUUGAACGCGAGUAGACCGAUCUUUUAUGUAAAGACGAUAAUGCAGGGAAACUUCAAAAUGUUAAAAAACAUUUGAAGUGGCACGAUGUGUUCCAAUGAGCAAACAUUUAAAUUUACAUCGAAGCAAGAUCAGUAGUCCAAAAAAAAAAAGGAAAGAUAAAAGAAAACAAAGAAGAAAAAACAAAAACAAAAAUAAAAAUAAAAAAAAAAAAAAAGAAACAAAAAGAACUUGAAUAUUUCACAAAAUUAUCAAUAAUUAUUGAUAAACAUUUACAUCUUGUAAUAAAAUCUUGUUCUAUUAUUUGUCUAUAAAGCCCUUAUUGCAUUCCUGGAAUUAUUAUAUUGUACCAUUUAAUUUCAAUCGAUUCGUAUAAUUUCAUCGAUAAAUACAAUGGAACAUUUGCUCACCAGAACUAGCAUAUCAGUUCAAGUAUGCUGUACCCAUCCAUGCAAUAAAAUCUUUACAGACAAGCACUAAUUAUCGUGUUUGCUGUACUAAUGUUAAAAGUCAUCAUUACCCUAGUCAUAUGCCCUAACUCUUUUCAAUAGGAAUUAUUACAAUUAGAGCUAAGAUUGUUUGUACCAUUGAUUAGGUGAGAGCACCCACUGUGAACCCAACACAUUUCUUAUAUCCCUCAUAUACGAAUUUCGUCGUAUAAAUCGGAAUUUUUAUUUAUUUUUCAGUAAGAUGCUAACUUGGUGAUCGCACACCUCUGAUUUUGGGAUCAUAAUUUGAUUAUUUCAUUAUGAAGAAUUAUAGUUUCUUGAGAUCUUAUUCGAAAAGUGCCAAUAUGUCGUCGCUCGAUGAGGGAUUUCCACUGCUUGCUCCACUACUAGGUGGAGUAUUUAGAUCAGGCGGAUCUAAAUAUGAGAGCAGUUCCAUUGGAUCUACGACAUUGUCUGGCAAGAGCUAAAAAAAAAAAAGAGAUUGAAAAAAAAAUUAGAUCAUGAUAUUUUGCAUUCAUUUUAUAUCAUUUUAUAUCAACAAUUUACAGAUUAUCUAGUAUAUGUAAUAUAAUAUAUAUUUAUAUAUUAUUUAAUACUUACAUUCAAUGCUUCUUGACCAGUACCCUCGCCAUCUAUAACCGCAGCUGGAUCGAAAUUUAAGUCUGAUGGUAUGUCCGCGGUAUCGGUAUUUAUAUUUGUACUCGUAUUACCAGACGUAUUAUGGUUUCCUGUAGAUUCCUGAGAUGCAGGAGGAACACUUGGUGGACCACUAUUACCACCACCAGGUGUGUGGGGUGUGUGAGGGGUAUGAGGUGUAUGUGGUGUGUGCGGCAUCUAUCAUCACAAAAUAAAAUACGAAUAAAUCGUAUGGAGGAGGAUUUAUUUAUUUAUAUUAAAUUCAGUCUAUUAUAUCUAGGGAAUAUACCUGAUCAUUUAAUGAUUUUUCCAUAGCAUUAAGGGGAUCCAAGGAAUUCACUGAUUCGUUCAAAUGAGUAAGAGGUCCCGUUCCGCUGCUAUAAUCGUUAUUGGUUGAGUUAUUCGUUCCAGGAUUGAUAUCGAACGAUCCACCAGAUGAAUUUCGGUGAUUGAUAUUAUUAUUCCCGUAAGUGGACGACGUGUUGUUCAUCAUCGAGCCGCUUACUAUGCUACUCAUGUCCGGUGGUAUAUAGGGGCUCAUAGCUUGAUUCAUGUCCCAAUUAUUCAUUGUGGGCAUAUUCAUACUUCCAGGUGACAUAGCUUUCGUCAUUCUUUUACAAUCAUUUUCCUCUUCUGACUUAAUGUUGGCUAAAUUCUUAGCAGGUUUCCAAUUCGCCGCAGAGUCUAUCGUUACUUCUUCUACUUCUGCGGUAUUCAGAGUAUUCAAAAUUCCCCACAUAUAUUGAUCAACCUCUAAACCCUCUAAUUGAGCUGGUUUUCUAUAAAAUUAAAAUAAUGACAUUAUUAAUAAUAACAUAUUUUCUUUUUCAUAUAUUGGUAAUUAAUAACGAUUUGAUUUUGGAUACUUACGUGCACACAGGACACCUCCAUGAACCCCGUUCGCAAUUUAAUUGCAGAUAAGACUCUAAGUCGAAACAUUGUAUAUGUUUGCAAUCGUGUCCCCUCGCUGGCAGUGUAAUACGUUUGAAAGUUAUAGGACAUUUUAAAGAUACCUGUAAAAGUAUGAUAUAAUGAUGAUAUAACAUUUUUACAGGUUCAUAAGUUAAUAUAAAAAUAUUUAACGAAGUAUAUUCUUACCUUAAGUGCUGUUUGUUCCACGACAUCUUUCUCGGAUUGGAUGCCGUUACUCGAAAUUGUAUUAUUAAAAUUUCUUUUGAUUUUUGUUAUGCAAUGUUCUGCAGUAAGUAAUCUCUUGCGUAAUAAACCUUGCAGAACGCUACGUACACUUGGUCGAUGGACUAAUUGAAGAACAAAUAGAUGUGACUGUAAAUGAGAAUAAACAUUUAUAUUAAUAUGUACAAACUAAAAAUAUUUAAAUGCCAAUGCUACACAUAUGUUUUUUUUUUUUUUUUUUUUUUUUUAAUACUUACACAACAGCAUGCGGAUACUGUAAUCUGUAUAGUAUUUCUUCCCGGUUGGCACACGUCCUUUAGAUAAAGAGGCUUGUGGGAUGUCUUGUUUUCGCCACGAUCAAUAACAAGAGGCGUUGCAUUGACAGAAACCUGAACGCUUGCAGGCCAAUUUGUGUUCAUCUGUCUAUCUUCAUGAUGGAAACAUUUAAGCUGUAGCUCCAAGUCGGAUCGCCACAUUAACGUUUGAUGAACCGUAGAUUUCAGUUGAAAAACAUGGUUGCUUACAGCCAAAUUAUGUUCUAAGCGGAAGGGUGGAAGAAUAAUACCGUCUCUCACGGGGAAUGUUAAUCUUAAUUCAUCGUCUUCUGCGAACAAGAAGAUUCAUUAUUAGGCGAUUUGAUUUCGUUGAAAUUUGGUUUAAUGUCCGGAUUUGGACUGAUGUAAGGUGGUAUACUAGUCGCUGGCGUUAAUGGAGGAGUUGGAUUACCAGGUAUAGGACUAUGUUGAUAAUUCAGGUUCGCUGCCCCUGU